rnacentral:rRNA from 1 species
CACGUAGGGUGCGAGCGUUGUCCGGAAUUAUUGGGCGUAAAGAGCUCGUAGGCGGUGUGUCGCGUCGGCCGUGAAAACCUGCAGCUUAACUGUGGGCUUGCGGUCGAUACGGGCAUCACUGGAGUUCGGCAGGGGAGACUGGAAUUCCUGGUGUAGCGGUGAAAUGCGUAGAUAUCAGGAGGAACACCGGUGGCGAAGGCGGGUCUCUGGGCCGAUACUGACGCUGAGGAGCGAAAGCGUGGGGAGCGAACAGG